rnacentral:lncRNA from 1 species
UCUUGAGUAGUGUCUCAUGUCUACACUUGAAGUGGAAGGAAGACAGAACAAUCAGAAAGCAUCAAACUUCUCUUUCCCAGACUGUCUACCUGUCUGCAAGGAACCUGAAACCGUUGCCUCUGAACUGAAAAGAAAAGGAGAAUGGGAUGGAGCCUUCACCAUCUGCAUGUGGCCAGAGUCCAGCAUGACCCCUGACAGGUGGCUGAAGAUCAUAUUACUACAAGGAGAGGCCCGUCCAAAAGUGACUCUUCUCCAGAGUAUAUCAGGACUCACAGACCCUGACUAGUGUACCCAGAUCUGGAACAGAACUGCCAGACAUCUUCCUACCCAUCGCGUGGCUGGAAGCCAGUGCUUGAUGAUAUCCUUUGUGACAUGUUGGUAGAUGCCAAGAAAUAUGUUCAAAACCAGUAGAAACAGAGUCGAAACCAACACUGAUCAAUCAGCUCUCUCCUCCAGGACACAGCCCUGAGUCUGUCAGUAACGUCCAGCUCUUAGAGUCAUCUUCGAGUUAUUUAUUUUCCGAAGAGAUGAAAGUCAGAGACUCCUGUCUAGUCUCCCUGUGUGUGUCUGGGACUUGCUUCCUUCUUUGUUACCCACAACUGGACUCUUGAAGGCAACGUGCCAAAACAACAAAACAAAACAAAACAAAACAAAACAAAAAACUUUUUCAAAUUGUCCCUGUGGUUUUGUUUUGAGUCCUAUCCCCACAGCUUUGUCAACAUUUGAGUUACAAUAGUGGCAACAGUGGCCAAGCUGAUAAGAAAGCAAAACCUUGUGAAAGGAUAAACCCUGAGCAAGAAAGGAAAUUACCAAACAGAAAUGUUCACUCUACAGACAUUAAACCAGGCUGUGGUGAGGCAGUAUGGCUGGAAGGUCCUCAGCCUGUUUUGAGUCAGCAGGGAGAAUCAGAGUAACAUCUCUCCUCACCUAGCCUUAUGCAAAGGAGCUGCAGUGUUCCCAAAAACAGCUCAUAGCCUGGAGGUUCAAGGAUUUCCUUCCUGCUCCAAUUUGCUCCUCCCAGGUCCUCUGGCCCUUUAAGAUAGUCAGUAGCAAAAUCAGACAUUUAAAACAAAACUACUCAGGGCAGACUGAUACAGCAUUCAGGCUUUAUUGAAUGGAAGUCUUAGGGGCUGGAUUGUCCUUGUUUGGAGCUGCUGCAGAGAGGCUACAUUGAACAUGGAUCAGGUGUUCCCAGGACCUAGGUGGGUGGAGGACAUCCAGCCAACUAGCGGCCUCCCCGGGGCUCCUAGGUAGAGGGUUGGAUGAUAGCCUGAAGCAGCCACCAGGGCUUUCCUAAUUCCUGGGACUCUGUUUUCCUCCUUUGAUAUUCCCUUCCUUUCUCAGAUCAAUUAUUUGAUGAUAUAAUCAAAACACCAAGAAAGAACUAUUUCAGUAUAACUCCUUUGAUCAGGUAACACAGAAAAUGUGUCUGUCCUAACUUACCUGACUCCUUAACACCGAAAGGAUGACGUCAGAGCUGAAGAUGUUGGUUGAGCACUGUGGGAAAAAUUGCCUCCUUGCACCUUGAAGGUCUAACUUUAAUGCAAAGACUUGUUUUUAUUUUCGGUUGUGGCACUUGCUUGAGACCAACUCUGCUCAUUCCAAACACAA